UACGUAGGGGGCAAGCGUUGUCCGGAAUCAUUGGGCGUAAAGAGCGUGUAGGCGGUCCGGUAAGUCCGUUGUGAAAGUCAAGGGCUCAACCCUUGAAUGCCGGCGGAUACUGUCGGGCUAGAGUCCGGAAGAGGCGAGUGGAAUUCCCGGUGUAGCGGUGAAAUGCGCAGAUAUCGGGAAGAACACCCGUGGCUAAGGCGGCUCUCUAGUACGGUACUGACGCUGAGACGCGAAAGCGUGGGGAGCGAACAGG
rnacentral:rRNA from 1 species